rnacentral:lncRNA from 10 species
CAGCCGUCAACUAACUCUUUGAGUUGGAGGAGUAGGGAACAACAGAGAGAUGGUAUUUCCAGACAAGGGAAUAAAUUCCCGGAAGCAACUGGCCAAGGAAUGAAAAUCCUGGAGAACAGAGUGGAAGAAACGCGUAUUCCACAUUUCCUGUUGAUUUUCUUUCCUCCCUAAACACUGACCUCCCGCAGUCUUCACUAGCAGGUGAGGUCACCUGUAGAGGUCAUGCUGCGGAGUCCCGAGUCCCUGAUUAUAUUCAAGACGUGGAGCUCUCUUUUUCCCGUCCUGCUUUCUUUCCAGAAGUGCCUCAGAUGCAUCCUCCCCUUCUCUUUUCUCCACAUGAAGACGUCACUGACCAUCUUCUCUGGUUUGCUUUCCAACACCGAGCACCAAGUGCUUCAAAGGUCAUGGUGCCCUGGGGCCGAGAGCUACUUAUGUGGGCAUUUAUAACCAAAUAAAUAUUGAAAUGGCCCACAAAGCAAAUGUUAGUGGUAACCAACAGCGGUAAAACUGGGUACAUGGGACCCUGAACCUUCUUGAAUAUUCCCCAUGAGACCCUGGGCCGACCUUCGGGCUUUCCAGUGUGCUCAGAAAAUCCUCCGUGGCUCCCAGCCCCAGCUUAGUCUUUCAACGGUCCUCGGACUGAAGCAAGAGACAGGGAAGGAAUUGUCCAAGGUUUUCCAGCAUGCUGAGAACACUUACCAUGGUGGAGCCUGGCACGUACUGGCUCUUUGAUGCAUGUGUAUUGGUCUCAAGUAGCCAGAAGCAUCUCCUCUGAGAGCCCUUGCCCUCCAGUUUAAAUGGCAAAUGGAAGGGAAUGGGUUCUGGAAGGCCCCAGGUGGGCUGGGGUGGGUUCUGGAGACCAUCUUCCAACUCCUGUUCAGGAGGAGGGUUGGUCAGAUCAGCUCUGUGGCCACCUGGGCUCUGGAGGGGCGAGAUACGGGCAGGUGCGGCCACAGGAGGGAGAGCACCAUGUGCGGGGGAAGCCCACAGCUGGAACCAAAAGGCCCCAGGAGGGAUCCUGGCUCUGACAUCUCCCAGCCGUGUGGCCUUGGGCAAGGUCCCUGACUUGGACCUCAGCCUCCUCAUCUGUAAAACAGGCAGAACAGUAAUACCGACCUUGUAGGUUGUAUAGAGUUCAUAUACAUCAAGCACUUACCACAGUGCCUGGCGGACCGCAUGCCCUAAACACACAAUCCGUGAAAUGAAUCCAUCAGCAAGCAGCUGCUAGGGGCAGUGUGGGGCAGAGAGGCAGCUGCCUGCUGGAACUGGCUGACAGGAGGAUGAGUGUGUGGCAGGAGGAACGCUCUGCACAGAGGACACUAGGUAGCGUCACCUGUCUCUUACCCUGUGUCUCCACUGGAAUGGAAUGUCAGACUCGCACCAUGCAUUCCUUUCCCUGCCAAAACGCCUCCUCUUAGCAGUGAGCAAGAAAGUUGUUCGAGUGGAUGAAGCCAAAAGCCCAUUUGGCAAGAGUGCUGUUUUGGAAAAUGCUUAGCGGUGUGGGUUGGGAUGAGGUUUUCUGUGCCUUUCCAUUAUUUCUUCAGCUUCAUGUAACCCUGACUGAGCAAUGCUCAGCAGAGUGAAGGCUGGGCAGCAGAUGGACAAGAUUUUCUCAAACUCCUUUUUAAGCCAAUUUCAAAAUAGAGAGAGGGAAAAAUCCUUGUUUUCUCUUUUCGGUUUUGAGAGGUUUCAUAUGCAGACACAAUUUUAAAUUUUAUUUUUUUUGCCCCCAAUGAGAUGUUUGGAGAUGGUGGUACUAGAACAGGAAGGAAUUUAUAAGUAUUGGGGAAUUUUUCAUCCCAAUUCCCAUAUCCUCCUAUAAUUCAAGGAGUGAAUGGGUAGUGUUUUUGUUUUUGUGAGAGGGGUGGCGGAGGGUAGAGAGAGAAAGAGAGAGAGACAGAGAGAGAUUACAUAGAGGUGUCCAAAAUGAACACAGUAAAAACCAGUUUUGAUUAAUUCUGCAAUAUUAAGUAGGCAGCCAAAAAUUUUGGUCUGCUUAAUUCUUAGCUCAUCUAAGUCUCCAGUUGACUGAUUGAUUGAUUGAAUGACUUAUUCAACAUGCGCUAGCCAGACACUGGUCUAGGGCCCAGGAAUUCAGCAAUAAAUGAAACAAGACCAA